GACGAACGCUGGCGGCGUGCUUAACACAUGCAAGUCGAACGGACAGGCCUCUUUCGUGCUGUACUCAAGUGGCGAACGGGUGAGUAACACGUGAGUAACUUGCCCUUGACUUUGGCUUAACUUCCUGAAACUGGGGCUAAUACCGGCUAGGUGCUCCUGCUGCCUGGUUGGUUUUGGAAAGUUUCGUCGUUUGGCUAUCGCCUCUCGGCUUAUCAGCUUGUUGUUGGGGUAGUGGCUUACCAAGGCUUUGACGGGUAGCCGGUCUGAGAGGGUGACCGGCCACAUUGGGACUGAGAUAAGGCCCAGACACCGAAGGGAGGCAGCAGUGGGGAAUAUUGCACAAGGGGUGGAAGGCUGAUGCAGCAACGCCGCGUGUGGGAUGACGGCCUUCGGGUUGUAAACCGCUUUCGCACAUGACGAAGCUUGGUGUGACGGUAGUGGGUAAAGAAGCAACGGCUAACUACGUG
rnacentral:rRNA from 1 species